UUACCAGGCCUUGACAUGCAGAGAACUUUCCAGAGAUGGAUUGGUGCCUUCGGGAACUCUGACACAGGUGCUGCAUGGCUGUCGUCAGCUCGUGUCGUGAGAUGUUGGGUUAAGUCCCGCAACGAGCGCAACCCUUGCCUUUAGUUGCCAGCAGUUCGGCUGGGCACUCUAAAGGGACUGCCGGUGUUAAACCGGAGGAAGGUGGGGAUGACGUCAAGUCCUCAUGGCCUUUAUGACCAGGGCUACACACGUACUACAAUGGCCGAUACAAAGGGCAGCGACACUGCGAGGUGAAGCCAAUCCCGUAAAAUCGGUCUCAGUCCGGAUUGGAGUCUGCAACUCGACUCCAUGAAGUUGGAAUCGCUAGUAAUCGUGGAUCAGCAUGCCACGGUGAAUACGUUCCCGGGCCUU
rnacentral:rRNA from 1 species